rnacentral:tRNA from 1 species
ACUUUUUUAAUAUAAACAAUAUAGAUGACUUCCACUCAUCCAAUUCCAGCCCAAACCUGGAAAAAAGUA